ensembl:lncRNA
UAUUUUGUGUCUGAAGCUGUUUCAUUGUCAUAAAUGCCUUAGCUAGAAGUGAUUUCAGCAAAUGAACUUCAGGGAGCAUGGCCGGGUGGUAAGAGGCCAUCAGUGGUUCAACAUUUGCUGUGUGUGUUGCUACGUUUUGCUUUUUGCUUUGCUUUUACUCCAGAAGGAAGCUUGAAGGUGGAAAGCAGUUAUUGAGUAGCUCUAGUCUUUCCAUGUGGCCGUGGAGCCUGACCCUCUCAGUACUAAUCAGAGAUGUCUAAGUCGGAGAAGGCGACGGCACCCCACUCCAGUACUCUUGCCUGGAAAAUCCAACGGAUGGAGGAGCCUGGUAGGCUGCAGUCCAUGGGGUCCCGAAGAGUCGGACAUGACUGAGCGACUUCCCUUUCAAUUUUCACUUUCAUGCAUUGGAGAAGGAAAUGGCAACCCACUCCAGUGUUCUUGCCUGGAGAAUCCCAGGGAUGGGGGAGCCUGGUGGGCUGCCAUCUAUGGGGUCGCACAGAGUCAGACACGACUGAAGUGACUUAGCAAGGGGAAAACCACACGCUACCAGCGUCUGCCGCAGUAAACCUUUCUAAUAACUGAUGGGCUCCAGGGGUCGCCUCUCAUUACGCUGGGCAACGUCGUAAACUGAUUUCAGAGGUUGUGUGCCCACAGGAUUCAUCACAUUCAGAACAGGCGUGGGAGGUGGGCAGAUCAGCCACGUGAGUCACCUCGUCAUGGCCCAGAUCGUACAGGAAACACCCCCAAAGCCUGACACUCCGGUUGGAGGAGGACAAAGAAGAGAAUGUCUGUGUCCAGCAGCGACUGCCAGGUUUCCUGUCCACGUCGCAGUCCUGGAAGCCCCUGGACUCCACCGCAGCCUUGCUUGUCUGGAACACGAGUCCCUCAGAAGAAAGCCAAGCAUCAUUUCCGGGACUCUCUUCCCUGCUUGCCUGGCCAGCAGAGAGUCCUGCAGAUUUGGAGGCAGGAGCAAAGCGAUGGUGUCACGUGCUGAAGGCUUGAGUUAGACUCGGGACGUCCCUCCUGUGGGUCUGCUGGCUCAUCACCCUUGACGUGGGGCGACGGGGUCCUCUCCUGGACCCUCUCCUUUCCUCAUCUGCUUUUAUUUCCUCUCUUCUAUCUGUUCUCUUCAGUUUUGCAUUUUGAAUCCUGCAUUUUAAAUCACCAUUAAAACCAUGGAGGGCCCGUCUGUGUGUAUAGGUG